GAUGAACGCUAGUGGCAGGCUUAACACAUGCAAGUCGAGGGGCAGCGCGGGUAGCAAUACCUGGCGGCGACCGGCGGAAGGGUGCGUAACGCGUGAGCAACUUGCCCGUAUCAGGGGGAUAAGCAUUGGAAACGAUGUCUAAUACCCCAUAACAACAGAGGCUGCAUGACCUUUGUUUGAAAGCUGAGGCGGAUACGGAUAGGCUCGCGAGACAUUAGCUAGUUGGCGGGGUAACGGCCCACCAAGGCGACGAUGUCUAGGGGUUCUGAGAGGAAGGUCCCCCACAUUGGAACUGAGACACGGUCCAAACUCC
rnacentral:rRNA from 1 species